UGAGUAACCUGCCCUUAACUCUGGGAUAAGCCUGGGAAACUGGGUCUAAUACCGGAUAUGACUCCUCAUCGCAUGGUGGGGGGUGGAAAGCUUUUUGUGGUUUUGGAUGGACUCGCGGCCUAUCAGCUUGUUGGUGAGGUAAUGGCUCACCAAGGCGACGACGGGUAGCCGGCCUGAGAGGGUGACCGGCCACACGUGGGACUGGGACACGGCCCAGACCUCCUACGGGAGGCAG
rnacentral:rRNA from 1 species